GACUGGCUGAUCAGCAGACUGGAAAGACUGUGGAAGCAUCCUCUGGUCCUUCACUGCAUGUUAGUGGAAAUCCCAGAAGCUCUGAAUAUCAUCAAGGAAGGGCAUAUCAAAUCCAUCAUCUCACUUUUAGACAAGCAUGGAAGAAAUCACAAGGUCCUGGAUGUGUUGUGUUCUCUCUGUGCUUGCCAUGGGGUUGCU